CUUGACGGCAAAGAAGAACUAUAUUGCCGAUCGAGUUGACGAAAUUUGGCAAACGGCGAUAAUGGUUUCUUGGUGGCUGAAAAAAAAAAUGUGAUUAUCGGUGAAUUCUGUACGAUUGAGUUGCUCACACUUGCAAGUGUAAAUCUUUAGUUUAGUAUAAUUAUAGUUAACUGGGAUGGAUUUUGAAACGUUCUCGACUAUGUCGUUAUAUCACUAUUAAAGCUGUGAGUUAGUUCAAGUGUCGGCCAAUCAACAUCGGUUUUGCUUGCUUUUCCAGGCAUAGAGAUAGAGAGACAAAAGGUUUUUCAAGAUCUUGAGGAAGUUCACUCCAAGCUUUCCAAUUGUCUUUCGUGUAAUAGUGUUGUUCUUCAUUGGAUCAUCGUCGUUGUUAAAAAGGAUUCACGGUAAACUAUAAAUUGUCUUAUUUAUGUAGAUGCAUGCUAAAACCGUGAAGUGUAACGUGUUUAUUUGCAGCAACAGGAAUUUAUAAUUUCGAGGCUUGGCAACGACGGCAGAUGUCCCCGUUCAGGAAGAUCCUGGCGUAGGUAACGCGAAUUGAGUUGAGUGUGGUGAUGAUGUUAACUGUACAACUGCUAUUAUAUGACGCCACACAGCUACGAAUAUAAUCUACAAAAGUCGCACACACAUUGUACAGAGUAGUGUGGAGAAAACUAUAACACUAUUUGGCGCAACAAAAGGAGCUACAGAAAGAUGUUUUGUGACUCACUGCUUUAUUCGGGGAUCUG